rfam:Eurypyga helias contig68324, whole genome shotgun sequence.
GGAAUAUUCUCGGAGUUGUAGUCUUUCAAACAGAGCUUUGCAAGGACAUACCUGUAUUGGAACACUACAGCUCCCUGAACUUCC